rnacentral:rRNA from 1 species
AGUGAACGCUGGCGGUAGGCCUAACACAUGCAAGUCGAACGGCAUCACAUUAAGAGCUUGCUCUUACGGGUGGCGAGUGUCGGACGGGUGAGGAAUACAUCGGAAUCUACUUUUUCGUGGGGGAUAACGUAGGGAAACUUACGCUAAUACCUCAUACGACCUACGGGUGAAAGCAGGGGAUCUUCGGACCUUGCGCGAUUGAAUGAGCCGAUGUCGGAUUAGCUAGUUGGCGGGGUAAAGGCCCACCAAGGCGACGAUCCGUAGCUGGUCUGAGAGGAUGAUCAGCAACACUGGAACUGAGACACGGUCAAGACUCCUACGGGAGGCAGCAGUGGGGAAUAUUGGACAAUGGGCGCAAGCCUGAUCCAGCCAUACCGCGUGGGUGAAGAAGGCCUUCGGGUUGUAAAGCCCUUUUGUUGGGAAAGAAAAGCAGCAGGUUAAUACCCCGCUGUUCUGACGGUACCCAAAGAAUAAGCACCGGCUAACUUCGUG